UUCUUUCUUAAUUAUGAAAACUAGAUAUAGAUGACUCUGUUGGUCAGAUUAGUUUGAAUAGCGGUUAUCAUAGUUUUUAGAUCGUUUUGUCUAUUGUGUUGUAACGGUGCUUUUUAGAUGUUAUUGUUUUGAACCUAAGUGUAUUAUUUGUUAUCUUACGAUAAGAUUUACUCGCUUAAUUUUAACUGUACCGUUCUAUAUGUGCUUUUGUUUUGUUUUGACAAAUCUCGUUUUUAACAAUGUAAGUACGCUUUAAAAUUCGAUUUUAUUCAGCAUUUUACCAAUUUUUGAUAAGCGUAGUAUCUAUGUAAAUUGUGUCUUUUACUUUUAGUCCUCGACCUGAUGAUGCGAUGAUAUUGUAAUCGCGAAACCGGUCGUCAUAAUAAAAGGAAUUUCUGGUGAAAUAAGACCUUUAUUUUCUACUGUGUUUGCUAGCAAAUACCUAUAGAAAUUAUAUGUUGAUAAAGAUCGUCUGUGUACGGAUUUCAAGAAAACUUGUUUACAUCGUUCUGGUAAAACUAAAUUUAAGUGUGCUACUAUUCCUUUGUCAUUGGUGAUGAAAAAUAAAAAAAAGCUUUACGAACGAGAAACGAAGGUAAAGCAAGAUAUAUUUUUAUCCCGAAAAAUAACGCCUUAUGAUGCACAAGGAAAGGGAAACUAUGCGGCAAAAUCAAAUGUCAAGAAUAGGAAUAUGAGCUGCCAGUAACACUUAUUUUCAAAGAAAAAACGUUUGAUUGUAGUGUGUAAACAAUUUUUUAUUAUUGCUUUUGAAAUUACAAAAAGAAGAUUAGAGAACCUGUGUAAAACAUUACAUAAAGGAAAAACGACGGCAGAAAACCGAGGUGGAAAUAGGUAUGGUAAUCGCAACGAAAACAAAAAACAAAGCCUUCGUUUAUUUUUAAAUAAAAUGCUUGCACAAGAAAGUCAUUAUGGUCGAGAAAAGUCAAAAAGGAUUUACUUGUCAUCACAAUUAAAUGCAAAGAAAUUAUGGCAACUUUAUAAUAGUUCUGUGACGGAUGAUUUGAAAGUUAAAAAAACAAUGUUUUAUAAAAUUUUUAUAGGAGCAUUCAAUAUCGGAUUUGCAUCUCCAGCUACGGAUGCUUGCAAUGUCUGCGUGUUAUGGCGUAAUAAAAUAAAAAAUGAGAAAGAUAAGGCCAAAAAGCACCAGUUAAUAACAGAACAGAGCAUACAUAAACUCCGUGCAAAUGCAUUUUACGACUAUGUAAGAAAAAAAGAGGACAACAGUCAUUCUGUAUGUUUUGAUCUACAACAGGUUCAAUGUUUGCCUAGGACCCCCAUACAAGAUGCCUUUUAUGCCAGGCAGCUCAGUUUAUACAAUUUUUGUCUUGUACCUUUAGAUUCAAAAGAUCCUGUUUUUUACUCAUGGGAUGAGUCACAAUCAGUAAGAGACUAUUUAAAGAAAUUAAUACUAGAAGCUGAUGUAUUUCACCUAAGACUGUUUUGCGAUGGUUGCGGAGGGCAAAACAAGAAUAGCCACAUUAUACACAUGCUCCUGUUCUACCUUUUGAAUGACUCCCCAAGACAUGUCUGUUUUUGAAGGUGGUAGACAAUGGUACAGUGAAAACAUCUUGUCGGAUAACGGUUGGAGAUACUUACCAACCGAAACGUCGUGUUACAUUAAAUAAAUAAGACAAUGCAAGUCCGCCAAGAUGUUUUUCCCCAAGACAUCUUAAGGACAUAACAUUAUUUUUUCCAGUACGAGAACACAGUUUUCUACCAGCAGACCGGGUUUUCGGUUGACUGGAGAAAGAAAUUAGAAAGCAUGUUGUAACCACCAAAGAGGAAAAUAAUGACAUUUUUAAAAAAUUUGGCACACUAAGAUUAUUGGGGCACGAUUGGAUUCUAAAAAAUGUAAAAAGCUUGGAGGAAUAUUAUAAAAAAGUGGAUAAAAUCCAGAAAUUUAAACGAAUGCUUUUAAAAAAAAAAAAAGGUUCGAGGUCAUUACACCGUUGAUUUAAAAUGCUAUGAGAACUAUAGAUUUGAGAAUCCGUUGGAAAAACCUGUAACAAUUCUUAAAAAGGGAAAGAGGCACCCUUUGUCAGGGGAUAAUUUGAAUUUGGGGUUACGUUCAUUAAGCGAGAACAAAAAAAGGACAUAAAAAAACUUGCUGAACAAAGAGUUUGGUGAUGAGUGGUUUAAUUUGGAAGAACUACAGUGGUACAAAAAAUUCAUAAUUCAUGAUCCAAAUAGUGCUUCCGAGGCACAAGCAAACCCCGAAAUGGAAAAUAUGUGUGAUUGUCUUACAGAUGAUAUAGGUGAAAUAAAAGUUAACAAAUUUUCAACUUCUGAUCACUAUUAUUUUGUUGUUUCGACCUAGAAUUUGUGUUUUGUUUAUUUUUGAUAGCGUCUAAGACAUUUGUAAUAAAAAAUAUUAAAGAUC